rnacentral:tRNA from 1 species
UGCGGAAUGAAAAAACCUUCGGUCUCAUAACCCGAAGGUCGUAGGUUCAAAUCCUACCCCCGCAA